rnacentral:rRNA from 1 species
GAGCAGUGUUGACUAUCUUCUGUUCUUAACUGCAAGCAGUUUUCAUUGCUGUAGUAAUUUGAACUAUCCUCGUUCUGUAUAGGAGGACGGACCAAAGUCUUGACCACAUAGACGAUUACUACUUAACCCCCUAACACACGAGAGAAGGUCCAGUUCUAGUCCCAACAGGACACAAGAGAGAAGGUCCAGUUCUAGUCCCAACAGGACACUAGAGAGAAGGUCCACUACCCGCAACAACAGAACGGACCAGAGAAGGACCACUCCUUGUCUCAACAGGCCCAAUGACUGUUGUAGAUGUUGUGGGUACGAGAGUACUCCAAGCAAGACUCUCUGUUGUGGGUACUAGAGAAGGACGGUUGACUGUACUCCAAACCCCAGAAGGCGUAAAACCACCAGUAGUACUCCACUACCCGUACUCCACACUAGAGAAGCCCCGCUCCUUACCUCAACAGGACCAGUGACGGACCUAGUUUUAGGUAGGAGAGAAGGACCGGUGAUUGGACUCCAGGCUGGACUCCAAGCUGGACCAACAAGACACAGAGAAGGUAGGAGAGAAGGGAACGUAGAAGGCGUAAAACCAGUAGAAGCCCCAACAGGACACACUAGAGGUAGGAAAGAAGGACCGGUGACUGGACUCCAGGCUGGGCUCCAAGCUGGACCAACAAGACACAGAGAAGGUAGGAGAGAAGGGCACGUAGAACCUCUACUCUAAGCAGUACUCUAAGCAGGUACGAGCAAAGGACCACUGACUGUUUUGGGAGUAGUAGUAGGAGUAGGAGUAGCAGGAGGAGGAGGAGCCGACGAGCCGUACCUUCCAAAGAGAACAAGUUUAACACUGCCUCCUCCGACUAUCUUUCGAGGAACGCCUUGAAGUUGUGGAAAAGGACGUAAAAAGUCCGUAUUUAGUAAACAAAGUCUUAAACUUAUAUUGUUUUGAACUUUUUGUUCCGAGUUACAAAUGG